GUGACUCGCAGCACUUGCUCAAGAUGGUGAGGAAAUGCUCUAUGCGGGCCGAAGUGUGUGGAAAAUGCAGCCAGAAGGAGCCAGAGGUCACUAGGACCAGGGGACUGCAUCAAGGCCAUGUAGGGGAAGAAACGUGAGCAGAAAGGCAGAGCGUCAUGGGCUACUAGACUGACCGGCGUGUGGAUCCAGAGGAAUGCACAAGAGCUUGUCCCGGGAAAGCUGCUCGGUACAGGCCAGGACAGAGGCCAGGAGCAUCAGGACCCCCAGAAAGACAGCGCAGUAUCACCAUGACAGGAACGACAAACCCCUAGCCCCAAACCCACUGAAGCCAGCACAAGCUCCCCUCUCAUCUGUGCUCUGCUCCCCUCUCGUUUGCACUCUGCUCCCCUCUCUCUGCUCCCCUCUCUGCUGCAGCCUUUGCCUGGAGAGAGCGACAAGCCCCCCGCCACAUCAACCACACAGCUGCCAACUGCC